UACAGAGGUCUCGAGCGUUGUUCGGAUUCAUUGGGCGUAAAGGGCGCGUAGGCGGCGCUGUAAGUCGGGUGUGAAAUCCUGAGGCUUAACCUCGGAACUGCAUUCGAUACUGCGGUGCUUGAGGACUGGAGAGGAGACUGGAAUUCAUGGUGUAGCAGUGAAAUGCGUAGAGAUCAUGAGGAAGACCAGUGGCGAAGGCGGGUCUCUGGACAGUUCCUGACACUGAGGCACGAAGGCCAGGGGAGCAAACGGG
rnacentral:rRNA from 1 species